UACGGAGGGGGCUAGCGUUGCUCGGAAUGACUGGGCGUAAAGGGCGCGUAGGCGGAUGGCACAGUCAGAUGUGAAAUUCCCGGGCUUAACCUGGGGGCUGCAUUUGAUACGUGUGAUCUAGAGUGAGGAAGAGGGUCGUGGAAUUCCCAGUGUAGAGGUGAAAUUCGUAGAUAUUGGGAAGAACACCGGUGGCGAAGGCGGCGACCUGGUCCUUGACUGACGCUGAGGCGCGAAAGCGUGGGGAGCAAACAGG
rnacentral:rRNA from 1 species